rnacentral:rRNA from 1 species
GGCUCAGGACGAACGCUGGCUGCGUGCUUAACACAUGCAAGUCGAACGCUGAAGCCGACAGCUUGCUGUUGGUGGAUGAGUGGCGAACGGGUGAGUAACACGUGAGUAACCUGCCCCUGAUUUCGGGAUAAGCCUGGGAAACUGGGUCUAAUACCGGAUACGACCUCCCGACGCAUGUUGGGUGGUGGAAAGUUUUUCGAUCGGGGAUGGGCUCGCGGCCUAUCAGCUUGUUGGUGGGGUAAUGGCCUACCAAGGCGACGACGGGUAGCCGGCCUGAGAGGGCGACCGGCCACACUGGGACUGAGACACGGCCCAGACUCCUACGGGAGGCAGCAGUGGGGAAUAUUGCACAAUGGGGGAAACCCUGAUGCAGCGACGCAGCGUGCGGGAUGACGGCCUUCGGGUUGUAAACCGCUUUCAG